GAUUCAACAAGCUGCAGUGCAUAAUGGCCAUUUGCACUGAUGCGUUCUUAUGUCUGUUAUGUUAUUUUCUCAGACAUGUCUAAUAUUCUCCUAAUGUUGUCAUUGGAUAGGGGUAUGGUGUUACGUUUGUUUGCGUACGACUCCCAAGUUUUCAGUGCACAUAUCAAUCGCACCAGGGAGUAUGAGAUCCUCUGCGCUGGUGUGGGCUUUUUUUGCACUUACUACAAUGCGCUGGGACCGGGUUGUCUGCCUUGUUGUUGACAUUGGAAGCCGCAGUGGAUGAAGAGGGAGCUGCACGUUUUAUAAACGUGUCCAUGAUUUUUCUCUGACAGAUACAGUAUCCUACAUGAACUGGCACCUGUUCCAAUGAAGCUGAUGCUGCUGAUUCAGGUUUACUUUGGGUGAGGCUUGAGAUUAUCAGUUCAAACUCCUACUCAAGUGUAUGCUUAAGCAAUAAGGCCAGAGGGUGUGUGGUAUUUGGCCAAUAUACCACGGCUAAAGGUUGUUCUUAGUCAAGAAACAACGCGGAG
ensembl:lncRNA